AUGUUUUAGCUGCUGGUGACUUCCCACUUCUGUUAUCAAUUGAUCAUGCAAUGUUUGGGCUUUUUCAUGACUUCUUACAAUCUUCUUACAGCUGGUUUUUAAUGCACCACUGCUGUUCAUUUGUACUCCUUUCUGCAUAAGCUUUGACUGAUGUGAUUUCUGCAUAAGCAGUCUGCAUGAAAGUUGGUGGGAUCAAGUGAUGACAGUUUGAAGGGAGUUCAGCCUCCUGUUCUUGG
rnacentral:lncRNA from 1 species